rnacentral:rRNA from 1 species
UCAAACAAUAAGCACCCUUUGUCAUAUUCACUAAAUAUCAUGGAACCUUUGCGAGAGGAACAAUUAAUGAACGCCAUAUAUAAUUAUAACUGAAUCUGCACAUACUAAGUCAAUGGCCAUGAAUUGAGCCAGAGAUCUUUUAGAAAUGCAACACCAUACUUAUAUACAAAUCUGUUACUCAGCUAGACAAGUAUUACCACGUACGAUCUCAGCGUUGGGCCUCAACUCAAUAACUUUGAAACCAAGUAUGUUCUAUCUGCAGUUUUACUAUUCAGAAAAGAAGAUAUCAGCGAUGCAUUCUUUUCUUCAUCUCAUGAUAUCAACAAGUAAUGGCAUUGACAAUACAGUCGUACCUGCAGAACAGCUAUGGUUUCGGCAAAGCAUAGGAAGGAACAGAACAUAAAUAUCCAGAAAAAGGAAGAAAAGCAAAAGAAAAACAGCCAUUCCAAAAUCCAACAAAAUAAUGUAUCAGCCAAAUGAGGGGUAAGUUAAAAUACAACUUGUAGAUCCAGUGUAUCGGUUCCAAAUCCAUGGAUGUUCAAUCUAUCCAAGUAAAGCCCAAGCCCUGAUGCUCAUGCAGGCGAGGUAGUGCAUAAUAUAUAUUUCAGAAAGCAAGGAUUUUAUUGCGGACACUGAUGAGUUAACUGAAAAAUUGAACUCUUGGUUAUGACAUCAACGACAUGCAAAGUCCAACUGCAACUACAGAAACCAAUGAAAUUUAGUAGCAGGUCAAGCUUUAGAAACAAAAGAGAUACAAAGGGGAACAUAUACAAAUCCGAAAACAGUAGAUAGAAGUUCCCUAAUAAUUGCAAGUAAUUCUGUUACAGUGCUAUUGAGGCAGUGGAUAACAAACAUCCGCAGAUGCUUUCCAGGGUUUAUUUUAGCUUAUGAGAGGAAAUUCCACAUAAUUAGCAACCUUCCAAAAUAAAAUCCGAUAAAUGACAUGGAGAAGGUACAAGUUCACUUAGAAUUGUAAGUACUUCCAUUUAGAAAAGGAAAGCAACCUUCCAAAAUAAAAUCCGAUAAAUGACAUGGAGAAGGGACAAGUUCACUUAGAAUUGUAAGUACUUCCAUUUAGAAAAGGAACGCAACCUUCCAAAAUAAAAUCCGAUAAAUGACAUGGAGAAGGGACAAGUUCACUUAGAAUUGUAAGUACUUCCAUUUAGAAAAAGGAAUUGUAAGAACUAAUUGCUACAGCAGUGAUGAGGCAACGAAUAAAAAAAACAUGAGAAGAUUGUAGGAGAUUCCACAUAUAUAAUAAGCAACCUUUACAUAUACUGUAGAUGAGAAAAAGCUAAAACGACCUUGCUCUCCUCAGAAGUUGUGUAGAGUGUGGUCGUUUUUUCCUGAGUGCAAGAAAGCAAAGAAAAUAAUAAUUCUGAAUUUGCCCAAAUAUCCACAGAAAGCAAGGGGGCUGGGACCUGGGAGAAUGAUUUACAAAAGGAGAUGUAUGCCAGAUCAAGCAUUUAUGAAUCAGUGGAUACUAAACUGUAAGCAUGAACCAUAGGAAAGAAAGCAGUUAGAUUAUGCAACCAUUAAUUGAUAAUUAAAGACAGGUAUGUUCAUAAGCAACUCUGUUGCUAAGAACAGAUCUUAUGAGCUCAAGAGACCAAACUGUUACAGUCCAAUUCCUAGAGCAUUUAUUGCAAAAGAAAAAUAUAAACAAUACUGCUAAAAACAUAACUCAUUGUGCCAAUAUCUCCUACAAAGAUCAAAUGGGAAAUAGGUAUGGGAAAAUUUAAGCAGUUCUGGAAUAAGAAGAAAUUUCUCAUGAUAAAUGAUUUACCAUGCUAUAUUAGAUAUGUUGGUCAUGAAUACCUUGCACACACGGCCAGGAGCUGGGACCUCCAAAUCCACGUCCUCCCCACAAACCUGCACACAUGUUUAGACUAAUAUACAAUUUUAUGUACUAACUAUAUAUAUGCACCGACCUUCAGAUCUGAACCUUUUUUUUUUUUGACAUCCCUUCAGAUCUGAACUUUUUAGCAAUGACAGUUCAUCUCCUUGCAAAACUAAACCCUGCUGCAACGACAUAUCACAACGAAGAACUCCAAAAAAACCUCCCACAUGUUUUUUCCCUUACAUCAGUAAAAAUAGAAGUCUAGAAAAUACAAACUAUCAUCUAAGCUAGUAAUAUGUGUAUAGUUACAUAAAUUUGAACAGUGGAUUUGAAAAAAGAACAAAAGAGCAGCAUACCUUAGUGUUAUUACUGCUGUCAACGAAGUGACGACCAACUGCCGAGCUGCCGCCUGAGAGUUGCUAGCUUGCUACUUGCCGCUCGAGGGACAGAGGAGGAGUUGAGACAGAGUUUGUGGGGAAAGGAGGGGCGCAACACUGCAGCAGCUGGCUGUUGGCUCGCCGCUGGAAUACAGCAGGCCGUGGGCUCGUCCACCGCCGGCUCCAAGUUGGAAAUUGGCGCCGCACGCUCGCCGAGGAGGCGGUACUACGGUAGCGCACCGCCUGGGACCAAACUGAGAUCAACGCCGGAAGAAAGAAGAUCAGGUCCGUCAGCAUCAUCCUCGCGCUCGCCCGUACUGGCAGACGACGCGUUGGUUCCCUUUCGCGCUGCCGUGGGGAGAAACAUCAAGUGAAACGUCACUUGGGGCACGGAGGAUGCAUGGCGGUGACGCAACUUCCUGGGGUGGCGCUCGCCGGGAUGUGCCGAUGACGGCGCUGCACACUCUCAGUCUUCGCUUCAGGGGCGCACGGCCACUCUUGCGUGGCGAUGGAUGCGAUGGGAACCCAUCCGUGAGGAACUGAGGAUGCUGGCGAGCUUGACGCGGUCGCCUCCUCCCCGCGAACUCCCACCGCCUGGUGCCGCGCGUCGCCGCUCCUCUGCCCAGUGGCCGUUCCAUGGCCAUGCCAUCCGCGACCUGACCACCACAAACGCCCUGCCAUCGCCACCUCUUGGCCGAGCGGCGUCACCAUCGCCCCUCUCCGCCAUCCACCACCAUGGGUUGGCUGUCCCGGUGGUCGCCCGCCUCGUCUUCCUUUGCAGGUGCCCGGUCGCCUCCCUUGUGCAGCCGGCUAGAUGAUGAGGGAGGUUGGUGCAGCCGAAGCGGAAGGAGGUGCGACGGCUGCGAGCGCCACCACCUCGGCCUCGGGAGGGAAGACGGGAAGGCCGGCGCUCGGAGAGGAUUUGGGUGCCGGCGGUAGGGUCAGGCAGAGAGGACGAGAAGGAUGGUCGUGGAGCCGCGAUUUGGGAGAUGCACAGAGGCAUUUUAUAGUCCUCUACAGCGGCGAAGCAGUUUUGACGGG